rfam:Bacteroidetes bacterium RBG_13_43_22 RBG_13_scaffold_94644, whole genome shotgun sequence.
GGGGAGAUACCAAAGCGGUCAACUGGGGCAGACUGUAAAUCUGUUGGCGGACGCCUUCGUAGGUUCGAAUCCUGCUCUCCCCA